CGGGGAGUAGCGCAGCUCGGUAGCGCACCUGACUGGGGGUCAGGUGGUCGCGGGUUCAAAUCGCGCCUCGCCGACCA
rnacentral:tRNA from 1 species